rnacentral:lncRNA from 1 species
CUUAUUCGAGUCAUCUUGACAGGACGCCGAUGCAGGUAGCGGCGAAGCGGCAGUGGACUUUCGGUGAAGCAGAAGAGAUAAACUGAUCCGUUGGGAUCGAAGUAGUCAAGUAGCAAUCAAUUGUCAGUUUCCGGUAGCAUUCAUCGCGGCUGAGGGGCGCACUCGCAGGUGACAAUUAAAUGGAGUUGUGCGUUGCUUUUUUCUGUCCGCAUCUGCUUCAGUAUAUGUGCCACUUCGUCUCCUGUAGCUCUCCCCUACGCUUGGUAAAUGCAUUUUCUCCUUCCCAGUUAUGAUCCCUCUUUCACCCAACCAUUACAUUGUGUUAUUAUCUUCUCAAUCCCAAUUUUGUACGUGCGGUUCUCAUCCAGGUUAUGGACAAUCUGGGGUAAAUCUUCGACACUCGUUCUGAAAUUUAGAUCAGAGAAUUCUUUCACUCAAUCUUCAAUGUCUGAUGGUCAGGUAAGUACUAUACUUCACGUGGACAGCCAUACCUCACCUUUUCAUGAUUUUGCAUUCUUGUAGAUGUAUUCUUGCUUAGAUUAUGUUUAUAUAUCAUUCAUGGCUGGAUGCCAUGGUACUCUUUGUUGAUAUAUGCGAAAGGUUACAUCAGUAGUGGAGUAUCCGUUGAAGGAGGGGCUUUUUUGGGAUG